CCUCAACUCACCUUCCAAGAAUGAUGGCACCAACGCAGCUGCCCGUUCCCCUUCCCCUUCCACUUUCGCUUUUAAUUCCCAACCUGUCCGGCCUCCCCCGCACCAUCUUCUUGGUUCAAAAAUCUGCCAUUGGUACAAGACGCCGGCUCCAAGGUCGCCAUCCAUGCCAAAUCGGCGGCUGCUAGCACUGCGCCUAGCAGCCACUGCUGGGCUCCUUCCGCCUGCCGCGGCUCGAUGGAUCCGAUGGGGAUGAGAAGAAUAAGGAGUGUGGCGGCUAUGAGGGGUAGAGAAGCAAGGGAUCAUGGCGGAGUGUGGCAGCGGCAAUGAAAGCUAGAUGGGACAAAUCUCUAAUGUAUAAGGGUCCUUACUUGCUGGCAUGCACAUCAAUUAUCUGCCAAAAUUUCAUACUAAAGUGGGCGAAAUUUUUGCACAUGGUGGUUUGUUAGCGGGCCUCAAAAGCGUUGCAGUUCCUCAUACAGCGGGUGCAUGUUCUGAAAACGAUCUUAACAAGUCUCAGCACAUGAAGUGGCAUGGUUGCAAAGAAUGACAUGACUGAAUGGUCGAUGGCCAUGAUACGAUCUGGAUGUACAUAUAGUCUUUGAGGCUAGCAGAAGUGUAGAACUUUGAGAGAAAGCUUGAAGCAAGGAUGCAUGUAGACCUAUCAAGCAUGUAUUUUUUGCAAGGUGUAUAUGUAGUCUUUAAGGCCAGCAGAAUCUUCAGAUGUCCGUUUGUUGUAUAUAGUUAUAUCUGAUGAUAUAUUGAUUGAUUGCUCUCUAUUGGCCAAAUUAUGGAUGUAGUUCCACAUGUUUGUCAGACAUGGAAAAUCUACGGAAUUUGUUGUUGUUACUGAAAA